rnacentral:rRNA from 1 species
CUUGUACACACCGCCCGUCACACCAUGGGAGUUGAUUGCACCAGAAGUAGGUAGCCUAACCGCAAGGGGGGCGUUUACCACGGUGUGGUCAAUGACUGGGGUG